GGGGCUAUAUUAUAAGUUGAGUAUGAUUGAUUGCAGAUUAAUAGGUUUUUGUCCUUA
rnacentral:tRNA from 1 species